UACGUAGGGUGCAAGCGUUAAUCGGAAUUACUGGGCGUAAAGCGUGCGCAGGCGGUUGUGCAAGACAGAUGUGAAAUCCCCCGGGCUUAACCUGGGAACUGCAUUUGUGACUGCACGGCUAGAGUGCGGCAGAGGGGGAUGGAAUUCCGCGUGUAGCAGUGAAAUGCGUAGAUAUGCGGAGGAACACCGAUGGCGAAGGCAAUCCCCUGGGCCUGCACUGACGUUCAGGUACGGAAAGCCGUGG
rnacentral:rRNA from 1 species